GAUGAAGAACGUAGCGAAAUGCGAUACGUAAUGUGAAUUGCAGAAUUCAGUGAAUCAUCGAAUCUUUGAACGCAUAUUGCGCUCUCUGGUAUUCCGGAGAGCAUGCUUGUUUGAGUAUCAGUAAACACCUCAACUUCCAUAUCUUUUUUGAAAUGGGAGUUGGACUUGAGUGAUCCCAACGCUUUUCCUCACCGAAAAGUGGCGGGUUACUUGAAAUGCAGGUGCAGCUGGACUUUUCUCUGAGCUAUUAGGAAAUCUAUUUAGUCUUCCAUAAAAACAGAUUAUUACCUUUGCUGCAGCUAACAUAAAGGAGAUUAGUUCUUGUGCUGACUGAUGCAGGAUUCACAAAGACAGGCUUCGGCCGACUUUGUAAACUCGAUCUCAAAUCAAGUAAGACUACCCGCUGAACUUAAGCAUAUCAAUAAGCGGAGGA
rnacentral:misc_RNA from 1 species